rnacentral:lncRNA from 1 species
UUUUUAGAUGUCUAAACUACGACUAACAACCUAAAAUCAUUACGAUUUCUAAAUCUAAGGACUAGUCUUAUAUGAACUUAGCUACCUUAUUUAAAAAAUUGCAAAAAUAUGAAAUGGAGUUUAAAAUAUUAACCAAUGAUGAUGAUGAAGAAGAAUAUAAAAAGAAAAAAAAAUCUAGCUCUAAAAGAUCAAAAUAUAACUAAGAUUUAGAUACUAAUGAGUAGGGGUGGCAAAACGGCAUGUGGUCCGCCAGGCCGGCCCG